rnacentral:rRNA from 1 species
GACGAACGCUGGCGGCGUGCUCAACACAUGCAAGUCGAGCGGAAAGGCUCCUUCGGGGGUACUCGAGCGGCGAACGGGUGAGUAACACGUGAGUAAUCUGCCCUGUGCUCUGGGAUAGCCACCGGAAACGGUGAUUAAUACCGGAUAGGACCACUACAGGCAUCUGUUGGUGGUGGAAAGUUUUUUCGGCGCAGGAUGUGCUCGCGGCCUAUCAGCUUGUUGGUGAGGUAAUGGCUCACCAAGGCUUUGACGGGUAGCCGGCCUGAGAGGGUGACCGGUCACACUGGGACUGAGACACGGCCCAGACUCCUACGGGAGGCAGCAGUGGGGAAUAUUGGACAAUGGGCGGAAGCCUGAUCCAGCAACGCCGCGUGAGGGAUGACGGCCUUCGGGUUGUAAACCUCUUCCAGUACCGACGAAGCGCAAGUGACGGUAGGUACAGAAGAAGGACCGGCCAACUACGUGCCAGCCGCCGCUGUAAGAC